CCCUUAGAUGUUCUGGGCCGCACGCGCGCUACACUGACGAAUGCAACGAGCUUAUAACCUUGGCCGAAAGGUCUGGGUAAUCUCCAAAUUUCGUCGUGAUGGGGAUAGAUUAUUGCAAUUAUUAAUCUUCAACGAGGAAUGCCUAGUAAGCGCAAGUCAUCAGCUUGCGUUGAUUACGUCCCUGCCCUUUGUACACACCGCCCGUCGCUCCUACCGAUUGAAUGGCCCGGUGAAGCGUUCGGACCGUGGCCUUUGGACGGUUCGCCGUCUGUUGGCUGCGGGAAGUUCGUUAAACCUUAUCAUUUAGAGGAAGGAGAAGUCGUAACA
rnacentral:rRNA from 1 species